rnacentral:rRNA from 1 species
UGACAGUACUCCUACGGGGAGGCAGCAGUGGGGGAAUAUUGCACAAUGGGCGCAAGCCUGAUGCAGCCAUGCCGCGUGUGUGAAGAAGGCCUUCGGGUUGUAAAGCACUUUCAGUCGUGAGGAAGGUAGUGUAGUUAAUAGCUGCAUUAUUUGACGUUAGCGACAGAAGAAGCACCGGCUAACUCCGUGCCAGCAGCCGCGGUAAUACGGAGGGUGCGAGCGUUAAUCGGAAUUACUGGGCGUAAAGCGCAUGCAGGUGGUUUGUUAAGUCAGAUGUGAAAGCCCGGGGCUCAACCUCGGAAUAGCAUUUGAAACUGGCAGACUAGAGUACUGUAGAGGGGGGUAGGAAUUUCAGGUGUAGCGGUGAAAUGCGUAGAGAUCUGAAGGAAUACCGGUGGCGAAGGCGGCCCCCUGGACAGAUACUGACACUCAGAUGCGAAAGCGUGGGGAGCAAACAGGAUUAGAUACCCUGGUAG